AAUCUUCGGCAAUGGACAAAAGUAUGACCGAGCGACGCCGCGUGCGGGAUGAAGGCCCUUGGGUUGUAAACCGCUAUCAGAGGGGAUGAAAUUCUAGAGGGCUAUCCCUCUAGAUUGACAGAGCCUCAGAGGAAGCACGGGCUAAGUGCGUGCCAGCAGCCGCGGUAAUACGUACUGUGCGAACGUUAUUCGGAAUCACUGGGCUUAAAGGGUGCGUAGGCGGUCAUUUAAGUAGGGUGUGAAAUCCCCCGGCUCAACCGGGGAACUGCGCUCUAAACUGGAUGGCUUGAGUAAGAUAGGGGUGUGCGGAACUUCCGGUGGAGCGGUGAAAUGUGUUGAUAUCGGAAGGAACACCAGUAGCGAAAGCGGCACACUGGGUCUUAACUGACGCUGAGGCACGAAAGCUAGGGCAGCGGGGGGAUUAGAUACCCCGGUAGUCCUAGCCGUC
rnacentral:rRNA from 1 species